GUAGGUAGCUCGUCGGGCUCAUAACCCGAAGGUCAUCGGUUCGAGUCCGGUUCCCGCUACUA
rnacentral:tRNA from 1 species